rnacentral:rRNA from 1 species
GGAACGAACGCUGGCGGCAUGCCUAAUACAUGCAAGUCGAACGAACUCUUCGGGGUUAGUGGCGCACGGGUGCGUAACGCGUGGGAAUCUGCCCCUUGGUUCGGAAUAACAGUUGGAAACGACUGCCAAUACCGGAUGAUGACGAAAGUCCAAAGAUUUAUCGCCAAGGGAUGAGCCCGCGUAGGAUUAGCUAGUUGGUGAGGUAAAGGCUCACCAAGGCAACGAUCCUUAGCUGGUCUGAGAGGAUGAUCAGCCACACUGGGACUGAGACACGGCCCAGACUCCUACGGGAGGCAGCAGUAGGGAAUAUUGGACAAUGGGCGAAAGCCUGAUCCAGCAAUGCCGCGUGAGUGAUGAAGGCCUUAGGUUGUAAAGCUCUUUACCGAGAUGAUAAUGACAGUAUCGGAGAAUAAGCCCGGCUAACUCCGCGCCAGCAGCCGC